GUCAGCCCUGUGAGUGGGAGGGGCUAUCACUCCCAUGCUUAGUUAUUCGUCAGCUGACUCUGAGCUAACCAAAAUGAAGAUUAUUCUGGUGGUCCUGACCUCAUCAGGCUAAGAAAACAAAACACUGAUGGAUCUGUGGCUUGAAGCUUAUAAUCAAGUCAGCUUGCUGAUGGACUCUUUCCGACCCAGUACCUUAGAACAGAAUAUUUCAUGGGUUGUGUUGCUCUACCUUAAAGACCUGCUUUCUCUCUGGCGAAUGACCCCCUGGCUAAGAAGAGCUGUUAGGUCUGGACUUCUUCCUUCUCUCCGUGCCCCCUGUU